ensembl:miRNA
UAUUGGACGAGGGGACUGGUUAAUAGAACUAACUAACCAGAACUAUUUUGUUCUGUUAACCCACCCCCUCAUCUAAUA